AACCAAGGUGAUUCCCUCUCCAGGGGGCCCUAAUAGUGCCCCUCUUCAGGAAAGCAGCAACUUGGAAUAAAAUCUGGCAUGCCUCAGCUUUUCAGGGCAGAAGGUCAUGUGCAAUUUCCUUUGCCUUCCUUUGGCUGCCUACACGU